rnacentral:rRNA from 1 species
GACUGUGCUAAGGUAGCAUAAUAAUUUGCUUUUUAAUUGAGGGAUAGAAUGAAUGGUUGGACGAAGAUAAAACUGUCUCAUGUAUAUUUACUAAAAAUUGAUCUUUAGGUUAAAAAGCCUAAAUUAAAUUAAAGGACGAGAAGACCCUAUUAAGCUUAAAAAAUACUAUAAUUUUUACUAUAUUGUUAAAUGUAAUGUUAAUAAUAACAUUUUAGUUGGGGCGACUUGGGAGUAGACAAAACCUCCUUUAAAAUUAGAUAAAAUUUGAUUUAUGGUCCAAAAGAUUUUGAGGUAAGAACAAGUUACUAUAGGGAUAACAGCGUAAUUUUACUUGAGAGUUCUAAUCGAAAGUAAAGUUUGCGACCUCGAUGUUGGAUUAAGAAGUAGUGAAGGUUGCAGAA